CCCUUAGAUGUUCUGGGCCGCACGCGUGCUACACUGAGUGGAUCAGCGGGUCAGGUUGCGCGAAAGUGUUUCCUAAUCUUGAAAUCCGCUCGUGAUGGGGAUUGACGGUUGCAAUUUUCCGUCAUGAACGAGGAAUACCUUGUAAGCGCGAGUCAUCAUCCCGCGCUGAAUACGUCCCUGCCCUUUGUACACACCGCCCGUCGCUCCUACCGAUUGAGUGGUCCGGUGAGGCUUUGGGAUCUGAGCGGAAAGAGCGUUUCGCUGUUUCUGCUCGGAAAACUCAGUCGAACCUUAUCAUUUAGAGGAAGGAGAAGUCGUAACA
rnacentral:rRNA from 1 species